rnacentral:lncRNA from 1 species
UUCAAAAAUCAUGGGUAUUAAUAUGGAUCCCCCCCCUUUCCUGCUAUAACAGCCUCCACUCUUCUGGGAAGGCUUUCCACUAGAUGUUGGAACAUUGCUGCUAUAACAGCCUCCACUCUUCUGGGAAGGCUUUUCACUAGAUGUUGGAACAUUGCUGCUAUAACAGCCUCCACUCUUCUGGGAAGGCUUUCCACUAGAUGUUGGAACAUUGCUGCUAUAACAGCCUCCACUCUUCUGGGAAGGCUUUCCACUAGAUGUUGGAACAUUGCUGCUAUAACAGCCUCUACUCUUCUGGGAAGGCUUUCCACUAGAUGUUGGAACAUUGCUGCUAUAACAGCCUCCACUCUUCUGGGAAGGCUUUUCACUAGAUGUUGGAACAUUGCUGCUAUAACAGCCUCCACUCUUCUGGGAAGGCUUUCCACUAGAUGUUGGAACAUUGCUGCUAUAACAGCCUCCACUCUUCUGGGAAGGCUUUUCACUAGAUGUUGGAACAUUGCUGCUAUAACAGCCUCUACUCUUCUGGGAAGGCUUUCCACUAGAUGUUGGAACAUUGCUGCUAUAACAGCCUCUACUCUUCUGGGAAGGCUUUCCACUAGAUGUUGGAACAUUGCUGCUAUAACAGCCUCCACUCUUCUGGGAAGGCUUUUCACUAGAUGUUGGAACAUUGCUGCUAUAACAGCCUCCACUCUUCUGGGAAGGCUUUCCACUAGAUGUUGGAACAUUGCUGCUAUAACAGCCUCCACUCUUCUGGGAAGGCUUUCCACUAGAUGUUGGAACAUUGCUGCUAUAACAGCCUCCACUCUUCUGGGAAGGCUUUUCACUAGAUGUUGGAACAUUGCUGCUAUAACAGCCUCCACUCUUCUGGGAAGGCUUUCCACUAGAUGUUGGAACAUUGCUGCUAUAACAGCCUCCACUCUUCUGGGAAGGCUUUCCACUAGAUGUUGGAACAUUGCUGCUAUAACAGCCUCCACUCUUCUGGGAAGGCUUUCCACUAGAUGUUGGAACAUUGCUGCUAUAACAGCCUCCACUAUUCUGGGAAGGCUUUCCACUAGAUGUUAGAACAUUGUUGCAGGGAUUUUCCUCUAUUCAGCCUUGAGCAUUAGUGAGGUCGGGCACUGAUGUUGGGCGAUUAGGUGUGGCUGGCAGUCUGA